rnacentral:rRNA from 1 species
UACGUAGGGUCCGAGCGUUGUCCGGAAUUAUUGGGCGUAAAGAGCGCGUAGGUGGCGCGACAAGUCAGUGGUGAAAGUUCGACGCUUAACGUCGAAUCGGCCACUGAUACUGUUGGGCUUGAGCACUGUAGAGGCUAAUGGAAUUCCGGGUGUAGCGGUGGAAUGCGUAGAGAUCCGGAGGAACACCGAUGGCGAAGGCAGCCCUCUGGGCUAACACUGACGCUGAGGCACGAAAGCGUGGGGAGCAAACAGG